GUUUCACGCAAAGUACGUCUGCGAUGAUGACGUUUCCGAAACUGUAGUCGGAUUCUUUUGCAACAGUGCCGUCUUUUUCUUUAUAUGAAAGGAAGCGCCUUUCCAUCUCGCCUGGACAACGCUAUUUCUCAAAAUCAGGCGGGAUGGUGCAUGACUGGUAAGCAGAUCUUCCUCACAGUUCUGAUGACCGGAGUUCAAAUCCGGUCUCGCCUGUGUGCAGUUUCCAUGUUCUCCCCGUGCCUGCAUGGGUCUUCUCAGGGUACCCCGGAAAAAUUUAAUGGUAUGCACGUUCAGGGUGAACCCUGCCACUCGCCCAAUGUCGGCUGGAAUAGGUUCCAGCACGCCCGCGACCCUAGUGAGGAGAAGCGGUACAGAAAAUGGAUGAUGGAUGUAUUACUCAAAAUCCUAAAUGAUCCUAAAUAAUUAAAAUGCAGAUGCCAGUGCACUUAAAGCACCUCAAUGCUAGAGAUAAAUGUAAGGAAUGACUUACUUGAUGAACUGUUAAACAACUGGAUGCUAAAAUAAAUAAAAUAAACAAAAGGAAAAUGUUUCUUGGUCAUCGAGUAAAAUCCAGAUGAAAUCUUUCCAUCGCUGAAUCAAUUUAUUUCAAGUGGGGAAGCUGCACAUCCAUCCAUUUUCUACCGCUUAUCCGAGGUUGGGUCGCGGCGGCAGUAGCUUUAGCAGGGACGCCGAGACUUCCCUCCCCCCAGCUACUUCAUCCAGCUCUUCUGGGGGGAUCCCGAGGCGUUCCCAGGCCAGCCAAAAGACGUAGUCUCUCCAGAGUGUCCUGGGUCGUCCCCGGGGCCUCCUCCCGGUGGCACGUACCCGGAACACCUCACCAGGUAGGCGUCUGGGAGGCAUCCGAAUCAGAUGCCCCAGCCACCACAUCUGGCUCCUCUCGAUGUGGAGGAGCAGCGGCUCUACUCACGGAUGACCAAGCUUCUCACCCGAAGGGAGAGCCCGGACACCCUGCGGAUGAAAGUCAUUUCGGCCACUUGCAUCCGGGAUCUUGUUCUUUCGGUCACGACCCACAGCUCAUGACCAUAGGUGAGUGUAGGAACAUAGAUCGACCGGUAAAUUGAGAGCUCCGCCUUUCGGCUUAGCUCCUUCUUUACCACAACGGACCGAUACAAAGUCCGCAUCACUGCAGACGCUGCACCGAUCUACCUGUCGAUCUCCCGUUCCAUUCUUCCCUCACUCAUGAACAAGACCCCAAGAUACUUGAACUCCUCCACUUGGGGCAGGAUCUCAUGCCCGACCCGGAGAGGGCACGCCACCCUUUUCCAACUGAGGACCAUCGACCAAUCUGGUGCUGAUUCUCAUCCCAGCCGCUUCACACACUGCUGCGAACUGCUCCAGUGACAAUUGGAGAUCACGGCUUGAUGAAGCCAACAGAACCACAUCAUCUGCAAAAAGCAGAGAUGCAAUAGUGAGGCCACCAAACCGGACUCCCCUACGCCUCGGCUGCGCCUUGAAAUUCUGUUCAUAAUCGGUGACAAAGGGCAGCCUUGGCAGAGUCCAACCCUCACCGGGAACGAGUCAGACUUACUGCUGGAUAUGCAGACCAAACACUGACUCCGGUUGUACAGGGACCAAACAGCCCGUAUCAGCCCCAUACUCCCGAAGCACCCCCCCACAGGACUCCCCGAGGGACAAGGUCGAACGCCUUCUCCAAGUCCACAAAAGACAUGUAGACUGGUUAGGCGAACUCCCAUGUACCCUCGAGGAUCUUGCUGAGGGUGUAGAGCUGGUCCACUGUUCCACAGCCAGGACAAAAAACACACUGCUCCUCCUGGAUCUGCGAUUCGACUUCCCGACGGGCCCUCCUCUCCAGCACCCCUGAAUAGACCUUACCAGGGAGGCUGAGGAGUGUGAUCCCCCUGUAGAUGGAACACACCCUAAAAAGGGGGAACAUCCACUCCAGUCUGCCAAUACAGAGGCACUGUCCCCAAUGUCCACGCGAUGUUGCAGAGGCGUGUCAACCAGGACAGCCCCACAACAUCCAGCGCCUUUAGGAACUCCGGGCGAAUCUCAUCCACCCCUUGCCUUGCCACCGAGAAGCUUUUUAACCACCUCGUUGACCUCAACUCCAGAGAUAGGAUAGCCUGCCUCAGAGAGCCCAGACUCUGCUUCCUCAUGGGAAGGCGUGUUGGUGGAAUUGAGGCGGUCUUCGAAGUAUUCGCCCCACCGAAUCACAACAUCCCGAGUCGAGGUCAGCAGCGCCCCAUCCCCACUAUACACAGUGUUGAUGGUGGACUAGAAUUUCCUCGAAGCCGUCCGGAAGUCUUUCUCCAUGGCCUCACCAAACUCCUCCAAUGCCCGAGUUUUUGCUUCAGCGACCACCAAAGCUGCAUUCCGCUUGGCCAGCCGGUAGCCAUCAGAUGCCUCAAGAGUCCCACAGGCCAAAAAAGCCAGAUAGGACUCCUUCAGCUUGACGGCAUCCCUCACCGUUGGUAUCCACCAACGGAUUCGGGGAGAGAGAGGUCAACUUGUUGCUACUUUUGGUUUGUCCCAUUAGGUGUCGUAACAGCGAGUUACUUGCCUGAUUUGUUUGGCAGUCACAAUACAGUAAUGAAAUGAAGAAAAUGUUCUAUGUUAAAUUUUGUGGCAUGUUAUCUUAUAUGUUAAAAGCUAUCGCUAUGUGACUUUUUUUGGAAGCUUAUGUAAAUUGUUUUUGAAGGGGGGCAUUAUAUAAAAUCUCGCCGACAGCACCACAUUGCCUAGACCCUGCACGGGUCACUACAAAUGGAUUUUCUGUGGAUGUUUAAGGGAGUUAUUUUUAUCUAGGUCCAUAAAUUGAAGUAGGAAAUUCAACCAGACUCAGUAUUUUGAGAGACUAACCUUUAUAUACAAGUCUUGUAUAUAUGUCCAUAUGUCCUGUGAGCCAAUGUAUGGACGGACAAACUGGUUGAGGUUGAGAGAGGACACGCUCAUGAUUUGCCCUGGUUCUGACCAGCAAAUGAAAUGUUUGGCUGAUGUGACGAGCCUUGGAGCCGUCCCCUCAGACAGAAUCAGCAGUAAGGAUGAGGGCAAAGUUAGUUAGAAAAGUUAGUCAAAUAACCUUCAUAAAUCACCACAGUUCGGUUAAGUGCCGCUGAUUUCUAUUCAAAUCUCCCAUUUCAUGCUGUCUAAUAAAAUUAUGCACUGAUAGCCAAAACUUUGCGAUUGCUAAUGGCUGCGACAUCAUCCGGUCAAGAGGUGCGGCAUCUUUAGACGUAUAUGGUGCUUAGCCUCCAUUCU